AGAGGAGGCUGAUGCUUCCGCGGAAAGCUCGAGCAAGAGAUUUUCCUGCCCCCAAAUGCCUAUGGACAGCAGUUUAGAAGGCGACACCGAAGCGAGUGGAGAAUCCUACAGAAAGCACAAAAGAGAAAAACAAGUGCCAAAAUCUCGUGUGAAGGAUACCGAGGCACAGUUUAGGAAAAAACAGCUGGACCUUUUGUUUCCUCCUGAAGCAUGAAAGGGAGGAGAUUGUCUUCGGCAAGAAGUUGUGAGGCUGCGCAAGAUCUUCAAAGCAGAUUUCUUCAGCCACUCCUCGUCCAGAAGUAUCCAUUUAAGGAGGUUGACCUCGCGGUAAAAAUUGCGGACAUCAUGAAGGUACCGAUGCCACCAACUCAGCAGCUAACACCACCACCUCAGCAGCCAAAUGAGGAAGGUUAACUGUAGAGGGCUCACCUCACUUGACGAUUUAAAUAAAGUGUGUUUGUGUUUGACAACUGCCUUUGUGUCAUAUGCAGUGACAUGCAUGCCGCUGCCGCAUGCUACGAGCAAAGCCUGCUCGCUGCCUGUGCAGGCACCUAUUGAUCUAAUAGAGGCUAUUAGUUUAUGCGUAUUAGCCUAAUACAGGCUAUUAGCUUAUGCCUAUAAGCCUAAUACAGGCUAUUAG
rnacentral:lncRNA from 1 species